rnacentral:rRNA from 1 species
GUCUACAGCCAUGCCACCCUGAACAAGCCCGACCCUGUUUGAUCUUGGAAGCUAAGCAGGGUCGGGCCUGGUUAGUACUUGGAUGGGAGACCACCUAGGAAGAUCAGGUGCUGUAGGUG